rnacentral:rRNA from 1 species
GACGAACGCUGGCGGCGUGCUUAACACAUGCAAGUCGAACGGAAAGGCCCUGCUUGCAGGGUACUCGAGUGGCGAACGGGUGAGUAACACGUGGGUGAUCUGCCCUGCACUUCGGGAUAAGCCUGGGAUACUGGGUCUAAUACCGGAUAGGAGCCAUUUUUAGUGUGAUGGUUGGAAAGUUUUUUCGGUGUAGGAUGAGCUCGCGGCCUAUCAGCUUGUUGGUGGGGUAAUGGCCUACCAAGGCGGCGACGGGUAGCCGGCCUGAGAGGGUGGACGGCCACAUUGGGACUGAGAUACGGCCCAGACUCCUACGGGAGGCAGCAGUGGGGAAUAUUGCACAAUGGGCGCAAGCCUGAUGCAGCGACGCCGCGUGGGGGAUGACGGCCUUCGGGUUGUAAACUCCUUUCGCUAGGGACGAAGCUUUUUGUGACGGUACCUAGAUAAGAAGCACCGGCUAACUACGU